GACGAACGCUGGCGGCGUGCUUAACACAUGCAAGUCGAACGAAGUGGCGAACGGGUGAGUAAAACGUGGGUAACCUGCCCUCCUUUAUGGGAUAAGCCUUGGAAACGGGGUCUAAAACCGAAUAAAGGGGGAUGGGCUCGCGGCCUAUCAGCUUGUUGGUGGGGUGAUGGCCUACCAAGGCGGUGACGGGUAGCCGGCCUGCGAGGGUGAUCGGCUACAUUGGGACUGAGCGACGGCCCAGACUCCGAAGUGGUGGGGCAUGUGGGGUGAUUGUACAAUGGAGGAAAGCCGAAUGCGGCGAAGCGGCGAGGGGGAUGAAGGCCUACGGGUUGUGAACGUGUUUCGCAAUCGAAGGGGUAGGUGAUGAAGAAGCACCGGCUAACUACGUGGCAGCAGCCGCGGUAAUUC
rnacentral:rRNA from 1 species